CUAUUUAAUUGUCAUUUUCAAACUGUUAGGGAAAUGGUUGUAUUUCGACAGGGCUUUUGUUUUGGGCAAUUUUCCGUUGUAGUUCAUAUGUACGUAUGUACUUUGGUAAGUCGUGUACAAAAAAUCAGGCGUAUGACUAGGUAUCAGGUAUCAGAAGGCCGGCUCCAGAGGCACGUUAUCCUCCAUUUGGUACAUUUGUGCCAUCGCCUAUAUGUAUGACGCCUAUUUCAUCGUUUACCUGAGAAUGGGACAAGGGAUGGAAUGGAAUUAGGAAAGGGAAAGGUGAUGAAAUAGGAAGGGGUGCCCUAGAAGAGGGAAUGAACUCAUAAGCGCAACGAGAGCUCAUAGCCCAUACCACAACGAGUUUAAUCAGUGCCCUGAAAAGGACACUGUAAAACGCAUAAGCGUAAAAAGAGCCUAUAGCUCAUUGGAGGUAGCUUGUGACGUCAUGCGACUUUCAAUAUGAUAUUCAAAGGUACAUCAUCGAAAGCAUCCUCAAUAUUCAAGAAAUCACCCAAGCAAAAACUACGCUUGAACGAGUACUUUCUUGAAAACGUAUACAAAUUUGUGUAAAAGAGUCACUGAGGACAUCCCAAAUUGGGAGGCAUGUGAGUACACAUGAAUAGGCAUGUUAGUCAGACGAACAUCGUCGAUAUGAUAGUCGACAAUACGUUUCAAGCGUUUCAGAAAGAACGAGGUAAUCAGAUAAAUCUGGAACUCAUUCCUUCUUUAUACAACGCACGCACCAUUCGGGAAAAAAAACUAUAGAGUGAUUUCACGCCAUGAAAAUACCCAAUAGAAAACUACAAGAGUUCAAAACAUGUUUGAAAUAUUUAAAUCUCUCUGGAGAAAAAUAGGACAAAACCCCAUUUGCUCCUGGAGAUUCGAAGUAAGCAGAGCUUUUUAGUUCCCACUAAAUCGAUUAUAUAGCUACAAUCCUCGGGGCAGAAGCUAAAAAUUCGUAGCUAUACAAAAGACUGGUUUAUCCGAAGAUAUUUUGAACUUGAAGAGAUCAGAGAUUUAUUCUGGAAUACCUCUUGCGGUCCGCACAGACCGCAGAGGACAAGCUUCUUUCAAAGCAAUAGUUAUGGUAUACCACAAUGGAGGGCGUUGUAGUAACAAAACGACAAUGAAACUCUCUUGGAGUGGCAAUGGAAGCGAGUUAUCCAUACAAUGGUGUCACAACCAAUUAGUACAGGUUUCCUAGUUUGUUGAGCAGGGACGCCUGAAUACGCAAAGUUUGCGAAAGAACUCUCAAAAGUACAAAGAAGGUCAAAUGGAGACUCCUCAUCUGGCACUUGACAAUCAGUCAACUCAUGCCAAAUUCUGCUCAUGCAGAGUUGGGUUAGGUGCAAUUUUAUGUUAAGUUAUCCACAAACUGUACUACCUAAGUAUUCCAUCAAACUAAAGCAUCUCUAAUCAAUGUUUGAGCUAAAGGUGGGCAAAACGGCUCACUUCAGUGAUCGGAACCGAGUCGGAUCAAUCACUCUAGUGAACGGGAUCUUCUGAACGGAUCUGCGGCUCAGUCAUGAAUGACCGAACCGCACUGAGCAGUCAUAACUUUACGACGCGCGUUUUUUCUUCACGCCAAGCAAACACUGCUAAACAGCGGUGGCUCCGAACUCGCUACAGUCGUAUACCAACCGCGUUCUGUUCCCUGGCGAAGAAUUCACGCAUGCGGUCCGCUUACAACGCAUACGAUGCCCAAUCGGAAGAUCGCAGAUCCGACUGUUCUAGGCGACCUGACCUGAUUCGAACGAUCCAAACACGUAGCUAGGGGGUAAUGUGUAUGCGGGAAAGCCAUAAAACAUCAAGAGAGUGAGUAUGCUGUGUCUGAGAGAAUGAGCUGCAAGCAAUCCAGUGCGAUACAAAGAGGAGCGAACGGUUCUUUUCUCGGGUCUUUCGUACAGAGGCAUGCGGACGGGUGAUCCGGCUCUCUCUGGAAAAGAGCCACGGUUCGCUCACUCACUGCGCACAUUCUACACGAAGUUAUAAAGGUUAUAGAAAAAGGUAUAAUUAUCCGAUAGUCAACUUUGAGCUGUUAUAUCUCCGGAUUCAAUGAACCGAAUGCAAUGAAAUCUUGAUCAUUUAUGACAUAUUGACUAAACUUAAAAUUCUUUACACGAAAAAAAAAUUAUUACGAUUAGACUAUUUUUCUAAUAUACCACCAAUUUAUCCAAAACUUCAUCAUCGUUUCAAAAUUCGAGAUAGUAAUUACAGUUCAUUUAAAUUCCCUCUAAUUGACUUCAAUAUGAAUAUGUUUUGAAAGGAAGUAACAAAAUAACUGGCAUUAAAUUGAAAAAGUAAUGGGAUGCAUAUGAAAAAUAGAUAAAUUUACUAAAAAAACAUAGAAUAAAUGAAACCGCCAUAACUUUUUUUCUUAUUAAUAAUUUCAAAUUAAGUAAACUGUUUUUCAAAGUUCAUUAUAUAAGUCAUAAAUGAUCAAAAUUUCAUUGCAUUUGGUUCAUUGAAUCCGGAGAUAUAACAGCUCAAAGUUGGCUAUCGCAUAAUUAUACCUUUUUCAAGAACCUUUAUAAAUUCGUGUAGAAAGGCUCGAUCUUUUCCAAAUUUUGACCACUGAUACACAACUAGUUGAUGAACUUACAGCAAAAAUUUGAGAAUUUUUGAUGCCUUUUUCGAAAAGUUACCGCGAGUUGAACAUUUUUUGAAAAGUGAAAAUUUUACCUAUCCCAGUUAUUUUGAGUAUCCCCUGUAGCUCAAAUUUGAGCCAAUGUCAGACAACUAGUUGAUCAACUCACUGUGAACAUUUGUGUAUUGUUGAUGCACUUCAGAAAAGCUACUAGGUGGAAAUAUAUUGAAAAAUAGAAAUGUUUUCCGCCUCGACCAUUUUAUCUUUCACCUGUAAGUUCGCGUAUUUUGAAUCACAAUACUAUUAACCAGCAUACUUUUGGCUGUUGACCGAAUAUUACAAUAAUAUACAAUACAAUAUACAUAUAUACAAUACAAUAAGAAUUUCUCAUAGAUGUUAAAAUCCGUGAUUGUUGCUCAUUAAGGAAAUUAAUUAACAUGACUUUUCUGAGGUUUGACAUAAGCCAUCAAAUUUGAUGUUGUUGAGUGUUGACAUUGACAAUAUUAUUGUCAUUACAAAACAAAACUAAAAUCCUGACAAUGGGUCUGGGGGGUGAGAUUGGGUCAAAACGGAGAAACAUAAAAUUGGAAAUAGCUCAUCAACUAUCGCUAACUUAUAUAGAAAACUUUAUAUUAUUUCAAAGAGAAGAUGUUUUUACACGUCAUGAUUCAUAAUAAGAUGUUUAGUAAUAAUCAUUAUUUUGUUAAGUUUGUGGCUAAACUUAUAUGAUGAAACUACUAGUAAAUCACUCUCAAAAUAAUUCUCCUUCGUAAUGUUUCACACAAGUACCUAACCAUAAAUUUUCUUAUAAGUGGUUAGCUGUAGAUAUUACCUGAUUGAUGCAACGAAAAAAGCGGGCUGUCAAUGCACUUUUUAUUUAAAAAUUCAAUAUUUUCGACCCUAUGUCUAAAUAUUAAGAAUGGGGGUGAGAUUGGGUCAAGCAAGUUAUCGAGUACACAUAACCUUAACUAAAAAUUCAACUUGUUAUCCAGUCCCCAUUCGACGUUAGAGUGAUGUCAUGUUUACCGUAUCUUCAUAAAAGCAC